GAUGCGGGCAUUCACCAAGAUGGCGGUUGUGAGACUUGCUCCGUCUAGUCUGUCCAGUGUGGGUGGACCCCACAUUAGCGGACUUCCAGAACAAGCCCGAUCCUUAAGGGCUUUGUGGUCUCACGGGGCUGUCUGUCAGAACCAGCAACUGCAGGAUGGAGCUGCGGUCAUCUCCACAAGGACUUCAUCUUCUCAAGAGCCAUUUCUGGGAAGAGGUGCUCUGCUCUCAGGUAUGGAGGUGCUCCUGGUGACUGUCUUUGAGCUCUUGGCACAGGUAGGAAUUGGAAGGAUCCCCCACCCCCGACUGCUCCUAUGUCCCUGCACCCAGCAGGCAGAGAUGACACUAGACCAUUCCCUCUUGGGCUGGGAAUGUGGGCAGAGGGUAGUCUCCUUUGAUUUCUCAGGAGUGUCCUCACUUCUGAGGGUCCAGCUCUCUCCCCCACAGGAUUUGGGAGCAGGGAGCUGUUUGACUCAUUCAGUUCAGUUCUGGGCACCGACCAGAACUGCAGGUACCUGCUGCUAACAGUUCCUAUAUUACUGUGUCCAGAGGAACUAUGCAGUUUCCUGUCUGACCAGGGAUGUGGGCAGAGGUGAGCAGAAGUGUCCUGCGGUUUCAGGAUGUUCUGCACUUCUCAGUUUUCAGCUCUCUUCCCCACGGGAUUUGAGAUUAGGGAUCUACACUCUCAUUCUCAUUUCCUAUUUUUUUGCUUGAAGGAGAAUUGAUGAUACACCAGCAUAUUUUCUGAAGUCCACAUGCUUCUUGAUCAUUUUGUUAUUUUAGGGUGUUAAUUAGUUGUUAAGGUAGAGCUUCAUGUAAAUAAUGCAAGAAUGAAUUAUAUUUUGAAAAUAUUCUUUUGCUUAUUGAAUAUUUUCUUUAAAACUCUGACUUGUCCAACUUUACUUUUUCAUUCUGUCAGUCCAUUUAUUCCCCACAUGUAACUUAAAUAUCUAUUGUGUAUAAUACACAUUCUAAUAUAUCUCAAGAUCUUCCCAUUCCUCAACCUUUACAUUCCUCUGCCCAGUCAAGCUUCCUUACAUUAUAUGAAUGUAAAUAUAACAUGAAAUGAACUUUGCUAUUUGGAAACCUCGUUUCUUUUUGCUGAAACCUUUUGGACUCUCAUGUAUAGGAGAUUGGAUGCCAUAGGUUAUCUCCUUGUAUUUAUAUUUACCCAAUUUGUUGUAAGUCCAGGGACACAUCGACCAUUUUACCACAAAGCCUGAGGUCCUGCUUUACUACCUUUUAGCCCCUGUGUUACCAUGGAUACUUUAUCUAUUACCUAAGCAGUAUGUGGUGAUCCUAAUGGCAGCAAAUAUGGAAACCUUAAUCGUGGGUGUAAAAAAAUGAAAUUUGGAAAUGAAAAGAGUCAAAGUAUUGGUGACUGGGGGUUUCAAUUUUUCAUUUGUUGCUAAAAUUUACGGAGAUACAAAUAGUCUGUAGAUCUGCAUCUGUAGGUCAUGCCUAUGUUGUGUCAGUCAUCUAGCAUAAGACCCACAACAUGUCAGUCACCCACAAGUCAUACAGGUUAUCAAAAAUCUGUCCCUAAAACCUACAUAGCCUGUUAAUUAUCCAAAGGAAAAGCCCACAGCCUGGCAACCAUCCAUAAGAAUUGCCCAUGUCCUGUCAGUCAUCCACUGGAAACCCCCUCAUCCUGUCAAUCAUCUAUCAGCAACUCACAAAACCUGUCAGUCACCCAGAAGAAAUUAUCACAGUCUGUCAAUCAGACCUAACAAAUGGCCAUAGUCUAUUAAUCACCCACAGGACAUGCCCACAAAGUUAUAUACAAACCCCUCAGAGCCUGUUAGUCAUUCAUUAGAAACUCCCAUAGCCUCUCAUUCAAUGGAGAGACCCACAGCUUGUCAGUCUUUCAUAACAUAUCUUAGAGCCUGUCAAUUAUUCAUAGGUAGAGUCAACAGCCUGUCUCUCAACCGUAGGAAACACAUACCAACUUUGUCACUUGUCCAAAGUACAAGCCCACACUAUGUCAGUCAUUCACAGGAAAUACCCACACCCUGUCCAUCAUUCAUAAGGAACACCCAACGCCUGUCAACCAUACAUAGUACACAUCUACAAUUGUUCAAUAUGCAUAGCAAACAUGCACAGCCUUCCAGUCAGUCAUCCAUAUUAGCUGACUGCUACCUGCAAAUCAUCCAUAGAAAGUACCCACAACCUGUCAGGCAUUCAUAGGAAACACCUACAACAUGUCAAUCAUCCGUAGGAAGGAGUUACAGCCUGUUUGUCACCUACAUGGCAGACCCCCAACCUGGCAACCAUCUGUGGGAAAAACCUGCAGCCUAUCAAACACCCAUAGGAAUUGCCCACAGCCUUAGAACCAUUUCUAAAAAAUGCCCAUAUCCUCUGAAAAUCCACAGAGAAAGUCAACAGCCUUUCAGUCAUCUAUUGGAAACACACACAGUCUGUUAGUCAUCUAGAGGACACACACAUUGCUUGAGAGUCAUCCAUAGGAAAAACUAAGUGCAUGCCAUGCAUGCAUAGGAAAUGACCACAGCAAGCCAAUUGUGCAUAGGAAUUUCCAAUAGUCUGUCAGUUAUCAAGAGAAAAUUCACACAGUCUGUCAAUUAUACAAAGUAAAUAUCAACAGUAUUCAAUUAAAUAUUAAACAUAGAAAUGUUCAAAAACCCACAACCCCCACACACUCACAACAUAAAUAGGGACGUGAUAAACCUGGGAGACAGCACACAAUAAAUCAUGCUGAUAGCAAAGAUCCAUCUCUGCCUCCGGCUCCUCUCCUACAUCAUUCAGACCUCAGGUUUGCCAUGCAGAGCCGAUCCUGUUACCAUGCCUGCUUGAAAUCAAAUGGGGAGAUGUUUGUGAUGAUGAACUUCAUCAAUGUAUUCUAAUAGCUUUAUAAAAAUCAUGUAGUGAAGGAAGCGCAGGAUUUUGUUUCUGUUGACAGCACAUUUUCAGAAGGGUUUAGUCCACGGUUUUUCUGCAUACGGUAGCUAAUUCUUCAGAGCUCCUGAUAAAGCAGAAAAGUGUGAAAACAAGGCCCUGCCUUGUGUGUCCAUUCAAGAGUCCAACCUCACCUUAUUUCAAUUAUAUUGACAAUAGCAACAAGAAACGUCAGAAAAAUGAAAGGAAAUGCCUCAUUGUGAAUAUGAUCACAGUUUACCAAGGAUAUAAACACAAAUGUUUACACAAUAUGAACAUAGAAUUAAUAUUUAUUUAAUAAAUCCCAGUGAGAGGUUUACAGCGUGCCUCAAUUGUUUACAUUCCUGAAUGAAAGACACACACACACACACACACACACACACACACACACACACCCCUACACAAAGGGAGUAUAAAAUAGUCAUAGGAGGGAAUACAAAGUGUGAAGCAGAGACUGAAGGAAAGGCCAUCCAGAGAGUGCAACAUAAGGGGAUCCAUCCCACAUGCAGUCACCAAACUCAGGCACUCUUGGGGAUGCCAAGAGGUGCAUGCUGACAGGAGCCUGAUAUAGGUGUCAUCUGAGAGGCUCUGCCAGAGCCUGAGAAAUUUAGAGGCAAUGUUCUCAACAAACCAUUGGACUGAGAAGUGGGACCACAAUGGAGGAGUUAGAGAAAGGACCCCAUAGGAAGAAAAACAAUGUCAACCAACCAGAUACCGCAGAGCUUCCAGGGACUAAAGCUCCAAGUAAAGCAUACACAUGGAGCAACCCCUGGCUCCAGCAGAAUAUGGAGCAGAAGAUGGACCUUGUUGGGCAUCAAUGGGAAGGGAGGCCUGUGGUCCUGUGAAGACACAAUGCCCCAGUGAAGGAGAAUGCCAGGGCAGGGAAGCAGGUGGGAG
ensembl:lncRNA